AUACCUACCUGGCAGGGGAGAUACCAUGAUCCCGAAGGUGGUUUUCCCAGAGUGAGGCUUAUCCGUUGCACUCUGGAUGUGCUGACCCCUGCGAUUUCCCCAAAUGUGGGAAACUUGACUGCAUAAUUUGUGGUAGUGGGGGACUGCAUUCAUGCUCUCCCCUU
rnacentral:snRNA from 1 species